rnacentral:rRNA from 1 species
UACGUAGGGUGCGAGCGUUGUCCGGAAUUAUUGGGCGUAAAGAGCUUGUAGGCGGUUUGUCGCGUCUGCUGUGAAAAUCCGGGGCUCAACCCCGGACUUGCAGUGGGUACGGGCAGACUAGAGUGUGGUAGGGGAGACUGGAAUUCCUGGUGUAGCGGUGAAAUGCGCAGAUAUCAGGAGGAACACCGAUGGCGAAGGCAGGUCUCUGGGCCACUACUGACGCUGAGGUGCGAAAGCGUGGGGAGCAAACAGG